GAUGAACGCUGGCGGCGUGCCUAAUACAUGCAAGUCGAGCGAACAGAUGAGGAGCUUGCUCCUCUGACGUUAGCGGCGGACGGGUGAGUAACACGUGGAUAACCUACCUAUAAGACUGGGAUAACUUCGGGAAACCGGAGCUAAUACCGGAUAAUAUAUUGAACCGCAUGGUUCAAUAGUGAAAGACGGUUUUGCUGUCACUUAUAGAUGGAUCCGCGCCGCAUUAGCUAGUUGGUAAGGUAACGGCUUACCAAGGCAACGAUGCAUAGCCGACCUGAGAGGGUGAUCGGCCACACUGGAACUGAGACACGGUCCAGACUCCUACGGGAGGCAGCAGUAGGGAAUCUUCCGCAAUGGGCGAAAGCCUGACGGAGCAACGCCGCGUGAGUGAUGAAGGUCUUCGGAUCGUAAAACUCUGUUAUUAGGGAAGAACAAAUGUGUAAGUAACUAUGCACGUCUUGACGGUACCUAAACAGAAAGCCACGGCUAACUACGUG
rnacentral:rRNA from 1 species